AAAUUACUGGAAUAUUACUGACACAGACGUGAUCGCUUGAAAACAUAAACAGAUCAUUUUGCGUCGCGUGAACGAUUAAAUAAACUCCUUUAAACACUAAAUUUAACUUAAAAUGUCAAGCUUUUUGUUAACGCUAGUAAGACAGUAAGUAUUUAACACCAUGUACUUUCACCGUGUAUAUUUUUACGGACAGAUUUAAGCAUUUUACGCAAAUUUUAAGAGGAUGUUUUACGAUCAUUAUUCACCGUACGAUCGCGUUCUAAUCUAUUGAAAUUUCUCUUUUUAGUGGGACUCCCGAUGCUAAAAGACGAAUUCCCAAGGCAAUUGGUAA
rnacentral:lncRNA from 1 species